AAGUAUGAGUUGUGGAUCUUUAAAUUUGCCUUUCAUUAUCAAUAGCAGACUAUCACAUUAGCCGGGAAGUCACCCGAUACCCCCAGGGUUUAAGUUUGUCCAUCUACCCUCUCCUCCAUCGCUUACACAGUCAAACCCCAACUCCUUAGUUUGGUUUUGGGGUCCCCACAGUUCAGCCCCCAUGUCCUGCUACUCCCUACCAUUCUCUCAAGUCCCGGUGGCCUUUCAACACUCCCCACUCCUUCUUCUGAGCCACUGCAUUUAGUUUGCACUGUCUGAAAGCUUGGUCUAUCCAUCCUCCAUCAAGACUUACCCAGUACUUCUGAUGUACCUUUCCUGACUCCCCUUGUAUUGUUCAAUUAUGAUAAUUAUAAUAUGAUGUACUUAGCUCUUACCUCGGGUCAGGAAACGCACUUUUCCUUAGAAGAAAGAAUGAGAUCACAGUAAAAAACAAGAGACUGGACAAAGACUUGGCUUGUCAUCAUGGCUCCAUUAUUUACCAGGUAUGCAAACUUUGGUGCCUUAAAACCUCUCCCUGCUUCACUUUCCUCCUCUGAAAUGUGAAGAUGGAGUACCCGCACCUGUGCAGAUGAGGCCUCUCGGGUGGGAGACAAAGCUGAGGAUGGAGAAAGAAACACCUGGUCGUGAGCCAGAGGUCAGCUAGAGCUGCUGCCAUUGGUCUCCACCCCAGAACUUGCAGCGGCCCAAGACGUUUCAUUCAGACCUGCACGUCCAAGCUAUAAUGAAGGAAAAGGAACUGCAGGGCCUUGUAGGAAAGGAAACUGCCAGUGAGCCCAAUCUACACAGAAAUCAAUUUCACACGGCCAUAAUUCAAGGAAAUAGGGCGGCAGAAGGAAGACACCACGAUAGGAUGUAGACACACACGGUCAUGGUGAGGAGGAAGGCCUGCCAGCCCCUCCCAGCCUCUUUCCUGGAACCAUACCCAGCAUCUCAGCAUCAAGCUCUGACUGUACAAGGAGCUGAACCAGGAGCAGAAGCAGGUUAAGCUGAGCCCCCACCUCCCACCCGGUGAAGCACCCUCCCUCAGAACCCGUCCAUCAGGAAGCAGCAUCACCUAAGAACAUAAAUGCCUGCACUGAAGCUUAGCAUCCAGUCCAGCUGUUCCAACAGACCAAUUGGAAGUACAAGAAUCAAAAAUAGGUUUGCAGAGAGAUGA
ensembl:lncRNA